CUAUAGAUGGACCCGCGCCGUAUUAGCUAGUUGGNAAGGUACGGCUUACCAAGGCGACNAUNCGUAGCCGACCUGAGAGGGNGAUCGGNCACACUGGAACUGAGACACGGNCCAGACUCCUACNGGAGGCAGCANUAGGGAAUCUUCCGCAAUGGGCGAAAGCCUGACGGANCNNCGCCGCGUGAGUGAUGAACUUCGGAUCGUAAAACUCUGUUAUUAGGGANGAACAUACNUGUAAGUAACUAUGCACGUCUUGACGGUACCUAAUCAGAAAGCCACGGCUAACUACNUGCCAGCAGCCGCGGUAAUACGUAGGUGGCAAGCGUUAUCCGGAAUUAUUGGGCGUAAAGCGCGCGUAGGCGGUUUUUUAAGUCUGAUGUGAAAGCCCNCGGCUCAACCGUGGAGGGNCAUUGGAAACUGNAAAACUUGAGUGCANAANAGGAAAGUGGAAUUCCAUGUGUAGCGGUNAAAUGCGCANAGAUAUGGANGAACACCAGUGGCGAAGGNNACUUUCUGGUCUGUAACUGACGCUGAUGUGCGNAAGCGUGGGGNAUCAACAGGAUUAGAUACCCUGGUAGUCCACGCCGUAAACGAUGAGUGCUAAGUGUUAGGGGGUUUCCGCCCCNUANUGCUGCNNCUAACGCAUUAAGNACUCCNCCNGGGGAGUACGACCGCAAGGUUGAAACUCAAAGGAUUGACGGGNACCCGCACGGUGGACAUGUGGUUAAUCNAAGCAACCAACCUUACCAAUCUUGACAUCCUUUGAACUAGAAGCUUCCCUCGGGGAAAUGCAGGGGGUUGUCCUCGUAUGGGUAUCCCCAACCACCUUAAUAGUGCAUCUAAUUCUA
rnacentral:rRNA from 1 species